rnacentral:rRNA from 1 species
AGCGCAGACGGUUAUUUAAGCAAGAUGUGAAAGCCCCGGGCUCAACCUGGGAACUGCGUUUUGAACUGGGUAGCUAGAGUGUGUCAGAGGGGGGUAGGAAUUCCACGUGUAGCAGUGAAAUGCGUAGAGAUGUGGAGGAAUACCGAUGGCGAAGGCAGCCCCCUGGGAUAACACUGACGUUCAUGCUCGAAAGCGUGGGGAGCAAACA